rnacentral:rRNA from 1 species
GAUGAACGCUGGCGGCGUGCCUAAUACAUGCAAGUCGAGCGAACAGAUGAGGAGCUUGCUCCUCUGACGUUAGCGGCGGACGGGUGAGUAACACGUGGAUAACCUACCUAUAAGACUGGGAUAACUUCGGGAAAACGGAGCUAAUACCGGAUAAUAUAUUGAACCGCAUGGUUCAAUAGUGAAAGACGGUUUUGCUGUCACAUAUAGAUGGAUCCGCGCCGCAUUAGCUAGUUGGUAAGGUAACGGCUUACCAAGGCAACGAUGCGUAGCCGACCUGAGAGGGUGAUCGGCCACACUGGAACUGAGACACGGUCCAGACUCCUACGGGAGGCAGCAGUAGGGAAUCUUCCGCAAUGGGCGAAAGCCUGACGGAGCCACGCCGCGUGAGUGAUGAAGGUCUUCGGAUCGUAAAACUCUGUUAUUAGGGAAGAACAAAUGUGUAAGUAACUAUGCACGUCUUGACGGUACCUAAUCAGAAAGCCACGGCUAACUACGUG